rnacentral:miRNA from 1 species
GCCCACCUCGGCCUCCCAAAGUGCUGGGAUUACAGGCAUGAGCCAUUGCGCCCGACCACAUCAUUGCUUUUUUGUGCACAGAAUAUGUCUG